AUUUUGAAUUUACAAUGGCGUAUGGACCAGUUCCUGUGAAUAGAAAGGUAGAAUUUCGGAUCCCUCUGAUCCCCAAGUAUCAGCGCUGUCUGAGAUGUGGAGACGAUUGCCCGGGUCUCGAGCUUCAUUACUGGAGAAAAAUAUGCAAACACUGCCGCUGCUCUAGAGAGGACCACGAUCUCCAUGGAAACGAGAGCGAUGAUGGUCAGCCAAUCGGAAUGCUUCUUGAUAGUAUUCCUCGGCCCACGGGUAGUGUCCACGUGAUCAGUGAACAGCGAAUACCCGAUACCCAAAACUGUGUUACCUCCAUAACAUCCAACAACUGUCGCGUGUCUGGGAGUACUGGGACAGCCUACGUUGAUGACCCAAAAACACUGACUGAUAUACAUGGGUCAGAAACAGACAUUGUUCUAUCGCGGGUCAUUGCAGAAAAUAUACGAUCACAGAAAUACAUCUCCAUGAUGCCGCCAGACAAACAGCUGUUCGCAGCCCAGCUGAGGAGGAGGCAGCUUCAAAAACAACUCCCCCUUCACGACCUUCACCCCAAGUUCUGCAGCAGUCUGACCGAGAGCGAACUCGUGAAGUUCCACAAGUUCUGUAACAAGCGACGGCAGAGGGCUGCCGGGGUGGGUCAGGUCAUGGAGGUUAAAGAGGCGACCAACUUUCGAUGUCAUCGAUGUAUUAAAAACAUAACAUCCGGGGGAUUCUGCGUCACGGCGGCUCAUCUAGGGUCAGGCACGGGGUGGCACCCGGGCUGUUUCACCUGUGCUACCUGUAACGAGCUUUUGGUGGACAUGAUAUACUUCUGUAGGAACGAAGAGAUAUACUGCGAGAGACACUACGCUGACACUAUCUACCCUCGCUGUGCGGCGUGCGACGAGGUGCUGAGUAGACUGUAUAGAAGUGAAUUUGAAUUUAAUUUUCAAAUCUGAUUAGUUUGUUGAAUUUAUGAUUGAAUGUAUAAAUGACGAGAUUUUGCUAAAUUACAAAUCUGAUAAAAGUUCUGGAUAUACACAUCAACAAUGUCUUGAAUCAAAUCAAAAAUCUUGUGUAAUUUAAUUACUAAAUUCUUGGUACAUUUUAUAAACCAAGAAAAUGUUAUUUAAACAAAUUAACGAGCUUAUUCUGGAUUCUUGUUGGUAAUUUGUAGAUAAUCCUUGCACGUGAAUACACGCAAGCUGAGAAACAGACUUGGCACGUGGAACAUUUCUGCUGCUGGAAUUGUGAUGCGCCCCUAGCGGGCCAGAGGUACAUAGCAAAGGACGGCAAUCCCUUCUGUAUGAUCUGCUUUGACACACUUUACAGCAAGUCUUGCAACACGUGCAGAAGGACCAUCACGGCGGACUCCCCCGGGCUUUCACACGGGGACUUCCACUGGCACGCCUGUCCCCACUGUUUCAGCUGUAGUGGGUGUGGCGGCAACCUCAUCAACCAGCAGUUCUUGCUCAAGGACGGACAACUCUUCUGUUCCGUGGACUGUAAACAGAGAACGAUGCUCAGCUGGACCCAGAACGGACUCCAAAACUUACACAUUCACUGACCAAACGCAACUGUUUAUCAUAUAGAUUAUAUAGAAUAAAUGAAAAGGGACGCCAUUGUGAUACUAUUUUUAUAAUGGUGGACAGGGUUGUGCUCGAUUGGGAUUUAGUUUAGCAUCACAGACGACAGCUGAAGUCGAAAUAAUAAAGUCGAAAACUUCCGUUUGCCAGCAUGAAUUACUUAUUUAUAACAAAACAUCUUCAACAACACAGCGUAUCUUUUUUAUUGCUAGUCUAGUUUGAGAAAAUAGAAAAAUCAGGGACAUUAUACAAACUCAAAAAUUCUUAAGGCUGCUUUCGCACAGCGUUUUUUUUUUAAAUCAAGAACAGGUAGCUUGCAAGUCUUUUUUUUACAGGAUGGUAUACAGUUAAAAUUGUUUGAAAAGGGAAUAAUUCUUGUGAAGGUUGUGCAAUGUAUCGGUGUGAAGUUAUUUGACAGGUAUUGUUUAUUCAAUUUCCAAACUAGUCUGGGUUUAAUUUAAUAUUUGCAAACCGAGACUCCACAUAUAUAUACACACAUCUUCUUUUAGAAAUACAAUACCUCCAUCCCAUUUCUAAUCUUUCACAUUUUACCUUCCAUAUAUUCCCUUGAAAUUAUCUAAAAAUCUUGUACCUAAUAUUCAACAUCAGCAAGGUCUUAACUCUUGGUAUGACUUAACACAUCAUCACAAAAUGGCUGACCGCUGAUCGAAACGACAUUUCAUUUUAUUAAAAGGAUUUUAUCAACGUCAAAAGGUCACUUACUCCAUAGCCGAGUGGAUAGAGUGUCGGGCUUGUGAUCCGUACAUCCCGAAUCCCGAAGAGGCUUUUGUUGUUACUUAUUGAAUUGAAUUUUUUUAAUAUUCACUUUUGAUCCCCAAACUGGAAAUUUUUCGCUUAUAUGCCAUAUGUACAGUUUAUUUAUGAUUAAAUCUUUCAU
rnacentral:misc_RNA from 1 species